rnacentral:rRNA from 1 species
GACGAACGCUGGCGGCGUGCUUAACACAUGCAAGUCGAACGGUGAAGCGCUUGCCUUUUUGGUGGGUGUGGAUGAGUGGCGAACGGGUGAGUAACACGUGAGUAACCUGCCCUCUUCUUCUGGAUAACCUCAUGAAAGUGGGGCUAAUACGGGGUAUUCCGGGUCUGUCGCAUGGCGGGUUUGGGAAAGAUUGCGCCUUUGGGUGUUCUCGGUGGGGGAUGGGCUCGCGGCCUAUCAGCUUGUUGGUGGGGUGAUGGCCUACCAAGGCGGUGACGGGUAGCCGGCCUGAGAGGGUGGACGGCCACACUGGGACUGAGACACGGCCCAGACUGCUGCGGGAGGCAGCAGUGGGGAAUAUUGCAGAAUGGGCGCAAGCCUGAUGCAGCGACGCCGCGUAAGGGAUGGAGGCCUUCGGGUUGUGAACCUCUUUCGCCAGUGAAGCAGGCCUGCCUCGUUUGUGGGUGGGUUGACGGUAGCUGGAUAAGAAGCGCCGGCUAACUACG